rnacentral:rRNA from 1 species
CACAUGCAAGUCGAGCGGUAACAGAAAGUAGCUUGCUACUUUGCUGACGAGCGGCGGACGGGUGAGUAAUGCUUGGGAACAUGCCUUGAGGUGGGGGACAACAGUUGGAAACGACUGCUAAUACCGCAUAAUGUCUACGGACCAAAGGGGGCUUCGGCUCUCGCCUUUAGAUUGGCCCAAGUGGGAUUAGCUAGUUGGUGAGGUAAUGGCUCACCAAGGCGACGAUCCCUAGCUGGUUUGAGAGGAUGAUCAGCCACACUGGGACUGAGACACGGCCCAGACUCCUACGGGAGGCAGCAGUGGGGAAUAUUGCACAAUGGGCGCAAGCCUGAUGCAGCCAUGCCGCGUGUGUGAAGAAGGCCUUCGGGUUGUAAAGCACUUUCAGUCAGGAGGAAAGGUUAGUAGUUAAUACCUGCUAGCUGUGACGUUACUGACAGAAGAAGCACCGGCUAACUCCGUGCCAGCAGCCGCGGUAAUACGGAGGGUGCGAGCGUUAAUCGGAAUUACUGGGCGUAAAGCGUACGCAGGCGGUUUGUUAAGCGAGAUGUGAAAGCCCCGGGCUCAACCUGGGAACUGCAUUUCGAACUGGCAAACUAGAGUGUGAUAG